CCUUCCGGUCCCAAAACAAUUAAGCCCAACAUUGGAGGCUCAUAUGGCGUCCGGAAUCUUUCUCUCUCUCUCUCUCUCUCUCUCUCUCACACACACACACACACACACACGCACGCACGCACGCACGCAAGGUUGCCUGUAGAUGUAGAAUACUAACCCUAGAAGGGUAACGGGCAAGACGUUGUUUAUUUGCAGAAAUUAAUGCGAGUAAGUAAUAAGAGAAAGUGGAAGGGAUAAGGAAGAUGGAGGCUCCGAUGAAUCAUCCCAUGUUUGAGAGGCGCUCCUUUCUCAAGUCCAAGACUCCCGCUGUUAAAUGGUUCAAGGAAUGGGUUCCCCAAGAUGUUGUAGCCACUGGUGGGAAGUGCUUGCUUUUGAAAUGGGUCAAUGAGGACACUGUGAAGGCCUUGAAAGAGAAAUCCAAAGAGCCAGAGGCUCCAGAGCCAGAACCAGAACCAACUACUGAAGUUCUUUUCCUUUGCAGUUAUGAAGGAUGUGGAAAAACUUUUAUUGAUGCGGGGGCUUUGAGGAAGCAUUCUCAUAUCCAUGGAGAGAGACAAUAUGUUUGUCAUUAUGAAGGAUGUGGAAAGAAAUUUUUGGAUAGUUCAAAGCUGAAACGACAUUUCCUCAUUCAUACAGGGGAGAGAGAUUUUGUAUGCCCUCAUGAAGGCUGUGGUAAGGCUUUCUCUCUAGAUUUCAACCUGAGGUCACAUAUGAAGACACAUUCGCAAGAGAACUAUCAUAUCUGCCCAUUUGUGGAUUGUGGGAAAAGAUACGCUCAUGAGUACAAGCUUAAGAAUCACAUAAUUUCUCAUCACGAAAAGAAUAUGGUUGAUGCAACAAAGUAUGCUCCAGUGCCAGAGAAGCCAACGAAAACUUCUAAACCUGCUGGAGCUUAUGGCUCUGCAUCGUCAGACCGUCCAUAUUCUUGCCCUUAUGAAGGGUGUGAAAAGUCCUACAUACAUGAAUACAAGCUAAACCUGCACUUGAGGAGAGAGCAUCCUGGCCAUAUUCCAGAAGAUAACGCUAAGAAUGCCCCACUGAAUGUUGAUAAUGAGGUGGAUGAAGCGAGUGACCAAGAUGGAUAUGUUGGAAAACGAAGCAAUGGAAAAAGUAUGAAACAAAGCAGGUCCAAGCCAAACAUGAAAUUGCCUCCUUCAAAAAUGGCACAGCGCAAGGGGUCUAGCCCAUCUCCUGCCAAUGCCAAUAUAAUAAAAAAGCAAUGGCCAAUCAAAGAAGAAUUGUACGAGGAUGAUGAAGAUAGUGAAGAAACAGAGGAAGACCGUGACAACGUUGAGGAUCGAUGGAGAUAUACUGAAAAUAAUGAUGAUGAUGAUGAGGAGACCGAGUAUGAAGACUAAAGCCUAUUUGGGAUAUUCUGUAUGCUUUCCUCCUCGGGCCAUAGAUGCUUGUAUAGCUUUACUUUUUGGGACGAGUCUAUUUAGCUUUCAUAUUCAUUCUCAGAAAAUGGGAUAUCUGCUGACGGAAUGACAAGCUGCUAGGUGAUAAUGAUGCUAUGUGGAUGAAGGCUUGAAGAUCAUGCAAUAUUUGUGUAUGUUUAUGAUGUAUGCAUGUAUGUAUUGAUGGUGGUUUAUGUAAAGAGGAAUGUCAAUGGUGGAACUUUGCUU